CACACCGCCCGUCAAGCCAUGGGAGUAUGUUGUACCAGAAGCGGGUAGACUAACCUUCGGGAGGUCGCUCACCACGGUAUGAUAUAUGACUGGGGCU
rnacentral:rRNA from 1 species